CCCUAGCCCUGAUGGUAGCAGCAUCCUUUCCUGCCGGUGUUCGGCAUGAAAGAUAUAGCGUACAGCAGGAAAUAGC
rnacentral:sRNA from 1 species